UACGAAGGGGGCUAGCGUUGCUCGGAAUCACUGGGCGUAAAGGGUGCGUAGGCGGGUCUUUUAAGUCAGGGGUGAAAUCCUGGAGCUCAACUCCAGAACUGCCUUUGAUACUGAAGAUCUUGAGUUCGGGAGAGGUGAGUGGAACUGCGAGUGUAGAGGUGAAAUUCGUAGAUAUUCGCAAGAACACCAGUGGCGAAGGCGGCUCACUGGCCCGAUACUGACGCUGAGGCACGAAAGCGUGGGGGA
rnacentral:rRNA from 1 species